UGUAGCGAUAAUAGCGAAGGGGAUCACCUGAAUCCAUUCCGAACUCAGUAGUUAAGCCCUUCAGUGCCGACGAUAGCCGCAUGGUGAAAAUAGGGCAUCGCUGUUU
rnacentral:rRNA from 1 species